GAUGAACGCUGGCGGCGUGCCUAAUACAUGCAAGUCGAGCGAACGGACGAGAAGCUUGCUUUUCUGAUGUUAGCGGCGGACGGGUGAGUAACACGUGGAUAACCUACCUAUAAGACUGGGAUAACUUCGGGAAACCGGAGCUAAUACCGGAUAAUAGUUUGAACCGCAUGGUUCAAAAGUGAAAGACGGUCUUGCUGUCACUGAGAGAUGGAUCCGCGCUGCAUUAGCUAGUUGGUAAGGUAACGGCUUACCAAGGCAACGAUGCAUAGCCGACCUGAGAGGAUGACCGGCCACACUGGAACUGAGACACGGUCCAGACUCCUACGGGAGGCAGCAGUAGGGAAUCUUCCGCAAUGGGCGCAAGCCUGACGGAGCAACGCCGCGUGAGUGAUGAAGGUCUUCGGAUCGUAAAACUCUGUUAUUAGGGAAGAACAUAUGUGUAAGUAACUGUGCACAUCUUGACGGUACCUAAUCAGAAAGCCACGGCUAACUACGUG
rnacentral:rRNA from 1 species